rnacentral:lncRNA from 1 species
UGCCUCCCUGUGCCUCCCUGUGCCUCCCAUUACAUCCCAUUGCCUCCCACUGUCUCCCAUUGCCUCCUAGUGCCUCCCUGUGCCUCCCUGUGCCUCCCAUUACAUCCCAUUGCCUCCCAUUGCCUCCCAUUGCCUCCCACUGCCUCCCACUGCCUCCCACUGCCUCCCAUUGCCUCCCAGUGCUCCCUCUGCCUCCUACUGCCUGCCACUGCCUUCCGUUGCCUCUCAUUGCCUCCCACUUUCUCCCACUGCUUUCCAUUGCCUCCCAGUGCUCCCACUGCCUCCCAUUGCCUCCCACUGCCUCCCACUGCCUCCCAUUACAUCCCAUUGCCUCCCAUUGCUUCCCAUUGCCUCCCAUUACAUCCCAUUGCCUCCCACUGCCUCCCAUUACAUCCCAGUGCCUCCCAGUGCCUCCCAUUGCCUCCCAUUGCCUCCCACUGCCUCCCAUUGCCUCCCAGUGCUCCCACUGCCUCCCAGUGCUCCCUCUGCCUCCUACUGCCUGCCACUGCCUUCCGUUGCCUCUCAUUGCCUCCCACUUUCUCCCACUGCUUUCCAUUGCCUCCCAGUGCUUCCAACUGCCUCCCACUGCCUCCCACUGUUUCCCAGUGCCUCCCAUUACAUCCCAUUGCCUCCCAGUGCCUCCCACUGCUUCCCAUUGCUUCCCAACGCUCCCAGUGCCUUCCAGUUCUCCCAUUGCCUCCCAUUGCCUCCCAGUGCUCCCAGUGCCUCCCCUUCCCCCUGUCAGGUUGCUGUGCACACGCUCAGCGGUUCGUCUGCGAUCAAUUAGCGUCUGAUGCUAACGAACCCUUCCCGCGUCUUUGUCCACGAGAGAAAGAUCUGGAAAGGGCCCGACAUCUGGUUCAGAUCGGGGGAUAAUUGCAGGUUGGGAGUGGGUGGGUUUUCCUUCCGGAACUUUCCAAGCUGGAUGCGAUGUCCUCGCACACAUGUGGUCCCAAUUAGGGCCGGUCGGAUGGAAAUGGCGUCUGCUUCUAAUUAUGGGCUCAUUAGGGGUGGGAACAUCCCCAGGUCCUCCAGCAACACUGAGCUCCCCGAGGUCUUUUGAGUGCUCCAAGGUUCUUCAGUCCGCCAAAGUCCCCAAGUCCUCCAACAGCCCUGAGUCCUCCAACAACCC